rnacentral:rRNA from 1 species
UACGUAGGGUGCAAGCGUUGUCCGGAAUUAUUGGGCGUAAAGAGCUCGUAGGCGGUUUGUCGCGUCUGCUGUGAAAACUCGGGGCUCAACUCCGAGCUUGCAGUGGGUACGGGCAGACUAGAGUGCGGUAGGGGGAGACUGGAAUUCCUGGUGUAGCGGUGGAAUGCGCAGAUAUCAGGAGGAACACCGGUGGCGAAGGCGGCUUCCUGGACAAUAACUGACGCUGAGGCGCGAAAGCUAGGGGAGCAAACAGG